rnacentral:ncRNA from 2 species
AAAUUACGCUAGGGGAGUCCGGACAGGGCUGAGAGUUCCCGCUUGAGGGAAGACCCUAACGACCUGAUCUGGUUAAUACCAGCGUAGGGAAGCGGCUGACAACAAGA